CCUACGGGAGGCUGCAGUGGGGAAUAUUGGACAAUGGGGGGAACCCUGAUCCAGCCAUGCCGCGUGUGUGAAGAAGGCCCUCGGGUUGUAAAGCACUUUCAGUGAGGAAGAACGCCUGGUGGUUAAUACCCAUCAGGAAAGACAUCACUCACAGAAGAAGCACCGGCUAACUCCGUGCCAGCAGCCGCGGUAAUACGGAGGGUGCGAGCGUUAAUCGGAAUUACUGGGCGUAAAGCGCGCGUAGGUGGCUUGAUAAGCCGGUUGUGAAAGCCCCGGGCUCAACCUGGGAACGGCAUCCGGAACUGUCAAGCUAGAGUGCAGGAGAGGAAGGUAGAAUUCCCGGUGUAGCGGUGAAAUGCGUAGAGAUCGGGAGGAAUACCAGUGGCGAAGGCGGCCUUCUGGACUGACACUGACACUGAGGUGUGAAAGCGUGGGUAGCAAACAGGAUUAGAUACCCGGGUAGUC
rnacentral:rRNA from 1 species